CAUGAUUAUUUGAUGCACAGAAGUCAUUGUAACGUGUGUUUCUCUGUCUGUAGUGACUCGUGUGAUCAGGGUGAUGUGGAUGCAAACGCAGACAUGUCAUGUGGCGGGUUCAAUCACUCUCAUGUCACUCCAAACACAUCUCUGGGUUACGCUCAUGCCACACCGUCCCGUGCUCUCCCUUCCCCCACUGUCAACACGCGUGAGGCUUUGGGUGUGAUCAUGGACAUGUUUCAGGCUCCCACCCUCCUCCAGGAGUCCAUGUUCAACAGCACUGUUCAGCCGGAGGACAGCUUUGAGAAGAGCUGCAGAAUCAGCAGCGCCCCCUCAUGUGUUAAAGCUCUCAGCGCAACUCCAUUCAUGAUAUACCAGGACAGAGAUGAGCAGGAGAACGGAGGGCAGACAGGCCUGCAGCUUCAGACGGAGCACUCCGCAGGGCAUGCUGGGAAGUGGAACAGCAGUGUGGCAGAAACAAGCCAUCCACUGACCGCUCCGUUACCCAGUGCAGCCUGCGGCUCUCGACCCGAGAGCGUGAGUGGAUCUAGAGAGAGUCUGCUGGGACAGAUAGAGAGCACAGCAGUGCUGCGGGAUCCCAGCACAUCCCUGAUCCAGAGCAGCUGCUGCGCUGUCCCUGACACCAGAGAGACUGACUCGUGUGAUCAGGGUGAUGUGGAUGCAAACGCAGACAGUGUGAUCAUGGACAUGUUUCAGGCUCCCACCCUCCUCCAGGAGUCCAUGUUCAACAGCACUGUUCAGCCGGAGGACAGCUUUGAGAAGAGCUGCAGAAUCAGUAUGUCCCACACACACAAGCUCCAGCCUUGUACCUGCGCAUA
rnacentral:lncRNA from 1 species